AUACGUAGGGUGCAAGCGUUAAUCGGAAUUACUGGGCGUAAAGCGUGCGCAGGCGGUUUUGUAAGACAGUGGUGAAAUCCCCGGGCUCAACCUGGGAACUGCCAUUGUGACUGCAAGGCUGGAGUGCGGCAGAGGGGGAUGGAAUUCCGGGUGUAGCAGUGAAAUGCGUAGAUAUGCGGAGGAACACCGAUGGCGAAGGCAAUCCCCUGGGCCUGCACUGACGCUCAUGCACGAAAGCGUGGGGAGCAAACAGGUUUAGAUACCCUGGUAGUCCACGCCCUAAACGAUGUCAACUGGUUGUUGGGGAUUUAUUUUCUCAGUAACGAAGCUAACGCGUGAAGUUGACCGCCUGGGGAGUACGGCCGCAAGGUUAAAACUCAAAUGAAUUGACGGGG
rnacentral:rRNA from 1 species